GUGAAAGCUACGAUCCCUUAUUGAUGUCACUUCGAUCGGUGUAGAUGAAGGGGAGGAGACAGGUUAAAGAAGGAUUUUUAAGCCUUGAGACAAAUGACACAUGGAUUGUUUCGUUCAGAAUGGGCAACACAACAUUUUUAAGUGCCUUUUUAUGUUUAUUUUAUUUAUUUCACCUUUAUUUAACCAGGUAGGCUAGUUGAGAUCAAGUUCUCAUUUACAACUGAGACCUGGCCAAGAGAAAGCGAAGCAGUUCGACAACAUACAACAACAGAGUUACACAUGGAGUAAAACAAAUAUACAGUCAAUAAUACAGUAGAAAAAUAAGUCUAUAUACAGUGUGUGCAAAUGAGGUAGGAUAAGAGAGGUAAGGCAAUAAAUAGGCCAUGGUGGCGAAGUAAUUACAAUAUAGCAAGUAAACACUGGAAUGGUAGAUGUGCAGAAGAUGAUGUGCAAGUAGAGAUACUGGGGUGCAAAGGAGCAAGAUAAAUAAAUACAUACAGUAUGGGGAUGAGGUAGUUGUUUGGGCUAAAUUAUAGAUGGGCUAUGUACAGGUGCAGUGAUCUGUGAGCUGCUCUGACAGCUGGUGCUUAAAGCUAGUGAGGGAGAUAUGAGUCUCCAGCUUCAGUGAUUUUUGCAGUUCGUUCCAGUCAGUGGCAGCAGAGAACUGGAAGGAAAGGCGGCCGAAGGAGGAACUGGCUUUGGGGGUGACCAGAGAGUAAUACCUGCUGGAGCGCGUGCUACGGGUGGGUGCUGCUAUGGUGACCAGUGAGCUGAGAUAAGGCGGGGCUUUACCUAGCAGAGACUUAUAGAUGACCUGUAGCCAGUGGGUUUGGCGACAAAUAUGAAGCGAGGGCCAGCCAACGAGAGCAUACAGGUCGCAGUGGUGGGUAGUAUAUGGGGCUUUCGUGACAAAACGGAUGGCACUGUGAUAGACUGUAUCCAAUUUUGGAUUGGAGAUGUUUAAUGUGAGUCAGGAAGGAGAGUUUACAGUCUAGCCAGACACCUAGGUAUUUGUAGUUGUCCACAUAAGUCAGAACCGUCCAGAGUAGUGAUGCUGGACGGGCGAGCAGGUGCAGGCAGCGAACGGUUGAAGAGUAUGCAUUUAGUUUUACCAGCGUUUAAGAGCAGUUGGAGGCCACGGAAGGAGUGUUGUAUGGCAUUGAAGCUCGUCUGGAGGUUAGUUAACACUGUGUCCAAAGAAGGGCCAGAUGUAUACAGAAUGGUGUCAUUUGCGUAGAGGUGGAUCAGAGACUCACCAGCAGUGAGAGCAACACCAUUGAUGUAUACAGAGAAGAGAGUCGGCCCGAGAAUUGAAUCCUGUGGUACCCCCAUAGAGACUGCCAGAGGUCCGGACAACAGGUUCUCCGAUGACACACUGAACUCUAUCUGAGAAGUAGUUGGUGAACCAGGCGAGGCAAUCAUUUGAGAAACCAAGGCUGUUGAGUCUGCCGAUAAGAAUGUGGUGAUUGACAGAGUCGAAAGCCUUGGCCAGGUCGAUGAAGACGUCUGCACGGUACUGUCUUUCAUCGAUGGCGGUUAUGAUAUCGUUUAGGACAUUGAGCGUGGCUCAGAAACCAGAUUGCAUAGCGGAGAAGGUACGGUGAGAUUCGAAAUAGUCGGUAAUCUGUUUGUUAACUUGGCUUUCAAAGACCUUAGAAAGACAGGGUAGAUUAGAUAUAGGUCUGUAGCAGUUUGGGUCUAGAGUGUCUCCCCCUUUGAAGAGGGGGAUGACCGCAGCAGCUUUCCAAUCUAUGGGAAUCUCAGAGGAUACGAAAGAGAGGUUGAACAGGAUAGUAAUAGGGGUUGCAACAAUUUCACGCUCAACUGUUUCCAGUGGGAAUCAAGAAUGGUCCACCACCCAAAGGACAUCCAGCCAACUGGACACAACUGUGGGAAGCGUUGGAGUCAACAUGGACCACCAUCACUGUGGAACCUUUUGUUUCCUGUUUGGACCCCAGGAAGAGGAAACAGGUUAUUACCAAUCCCCUUCACUCAAAUCUUAUCCACCCAAAAUGUGAAAACACCUUACAGGACAGAUCCCCUGAGGCUGACGAGGGGAAGGAGAGAUGCCCUGAGGCUGACGAGGGGAAGGAGAGAUGCCCUGAGGAUGACGAGGGGAAGGAGAGAUGCCCUGAGGAUGACGAGGGGAAGGAGACUUCAUCUUCAGAAGGAGAGAUGCCCUGUUGGGGUCAGGAGAUUAUCCAAUUGGUUAUUAGCCUUCCUAAUGACCCUGUCCAUAUGUCUGGCGUGUGUGUGUGUGUGUGUGUCUUAUCAGUUCAUCCUGGCUCCCGUGGAUUGCCCUCUACUUAGUAUCCAUGUUACAUGCUGGUCUCACACACACACACACGCACACACACACACACACGCCAAGCACACACACACGCCAAGCACACACACACACACACACACGCCAAGCACACACACACACACACUCCAGUAUUGAUUUUAGGGCUAAAGAUCAAUAGCUGCAAUAUGUCGGCUCUCAAGUCCUCAGACAAUAAAUGGCAUAUGCUGUUAGACACACACACACACACACACCAUACACACACACACCAUACACACACACACACCAUACACACACACACACACCAUGCACACACACACCAUGCACACACACACACACACACACCAUACACACACACACCAUACACACACCAUGCACACACACACACACACACACACACACUCUCUCUGUUUUCCAUGGGUGUAAUAAAUCAAAUCAAAUGAAUUUAUAUAGCCCUUCUUACAUCAACUGAUAUCUCAAAGUGCUGUACAGAAACCCAGCCUAAAACCCCAAACAGCAAGCAAUGCAGGUGUAGAAGCACGGUGGCUAGGAAAAACUCCCUAGAAAGGCCAAAACCUAGGAAGAAACCUAGAGAGGAACCAGGCUAUGAGGGGUGGCCAGUCUUCUUCUGGCUGUGCAGGGUGGAGAUUAUAACAGCACAUGGCCUAGAUGUUCAAAUGUUCAUAAAUGACCAGCAUUGUCAAAUAAUAAUAAUCAUAGUAGUUGUCGAGGGUGCAACAAGUCAGUAACACAAGAGUAAGUGUCAGUUGUCUUUUUCAUAGCCGAUCUUUGAGAGUGUCUCUGCCGCUCCUGCUGUCUCUAGAGAGUUGAAAACAGCAGGUCUGGGACAGGUAGCACGUCCGGUGAAUAGGUCAGGGUUCCAGCAGGUCUGGGACAACAGGUCUGGGACAGGUAACACGUCCGGUGAACAGGUCAGGGUUCCAUAGCUGCAGGCAGAACAGUUGGAACUGGAGCAGCAGCACGGCCAGGUGAACUGGGGACAGCAAGGAGUCAUCAAGCCAGGUAGUCCUGAGGCAUGGUCCUAGGGCUCAGGUCCUCCGAGAGAGAGAAAAAGAAAUAAAGAGAGAAAGAGAGAAUUAGAGAGAGCAUAUUUAAAUUCACACAGGACACCGGAAAAGACAAGAGAAAUACUCCAGAUGUGACAGACUGACCCUAGCCCCCCGACACAUAAACUACUGCAGCAUAAAUAAGAGUGUGUCAGAUGUAUGGAAUGUGACUGGACCAGUUGUUAGAUAAUAACCUAAAACCUAGCUGAUGAUAACCUAGCUGAUGAUAACCUGGCUGAUGAUAACCUGGCUGAUGAUAACCUGGCUGAUGAUAACCUGGCUGAUGAUAACCUAGCUGAUUAUAACCUGGCUGAUGAUAACCUAGCUGAUGAUAACCUAGCUGAUGAUAACCUGGCUGAUGAUAACCUAGCUGAUUAUAACCUAGCUGAUGAUAACCUAGCUGUCUCCUCUAUCUCUACUAGCCCAGUUGUUAGAUGAUAACCUAGCUGUCUCCUCUAUCUCUACUAACCCAGUUGUUAGAUGAUAUAUAUAAAGAUAUCAGAGUUAGGAUUAGAUGGACUGGAUGAGCUAGCCUGGGUACCGGUCUCCUUAGCUAAUCCACUGGACUGGAUGAGCUUGCCUGGGUACCGGUCUCAUUAGCUAAUCCACUGGACUGGAUGAGCUAGCCUGGGUACCGGUCUCCUUAGCUAAUCCACUGGACUGGAUGAGCUAGCCUGGGUACCGGUCUCCUUAGCUAAUCCACUGGACUGGAUGAGCUAGCCUGGGUACCAGUCUCCUUAGCUAAUUCACUGGACUGGAGGAGCUAGCCUGGGUACCGGUCUCCUUAGCUAAUCCACUGGACUGGAUGAGCUAGCCUGGGUACCGGUCUCCUUAGCUAAUCCACUGGACUGGAUGAGCUAGCCUGGGUACCGGUCUCCUUAGCUAAUCCACUGGACUGGAUGAGCUAGCCUGGGUACCGGUCUCCUUAGCUAAUCCACUGGACUGGAUGAGCUAGCCUGGGUACCAGUCUCCUUAGCUAAUUCACUGGACUGGAGGAGCUAGCCUGGGUACCGGUCUCCUUAGCUAAUCCACUGGACUGGAUGAGCUUGCCUGGGUACCGGUCUCCUUAGCUAAUCCACUGGACUGGAUGAGCUAGCCUGGCUACCGGUCUCCUUAGCUAAUCCACUGGACUGGAUGAGCUAGCCUGAGUACCAGUCUCCUUAGCUAAUCCACUGGACUGGAUGAGCUAGCCUGGGUACCAGUCUCUUUAGCUAAUCCACUGGACUGGAUGAGCUUGCCUGGGUACCGGUCUCCUUAGCUAAUCCACUGGACUGGAUUAUCCAAGGUAGUUAGCUAACAAUUCUUCGUGGCUAUCUGGCCGGCUAACAGUACUAGUCGGCUAACAGUAAUAGCUGGCUAACAGUAAUAGCCGGCUAACAGUAGUAGCCGGCUAACAGUAGUAGCCGGCUAACAGCAGCAGCCAGCUAAAGCUAACAGUAGUAGCCGGCUAACAGUAGUAGCUAGCUAACAGUAGCAGCCGUCUAACAGCAGUAGCCGGGUAACAGUAGUAGCCGGCUAACAGUAGCAGCAGUCUAACAGUAGCAACCGUCUAACUGUAGUAGCCGGCUAACAGCAGUAGUAGCUAGCUAACAGUAGUAGCCGGCUAACAGUAGUAGCUGGCUAACAGCAGUAGCCGCCAGCUAAAGCUAACAGUAAUAACUAGCUAACAGUAGUAGCCGGCUAACAGCAGCAGCCAGCUAAAGCUAACAGUAGUAGCUAGCUAACAGUAGCAGCCGUCUAACAGCAGCAGCCGUCUAACAGUAGUAGCCGGCUAACAGCAGCAGCCGGCUAACAGCAGUAGCCGGCUAACAGUAGUAGCUAGCUAUAGUAGCUAGGCAGUUAGCGCAAUUGACUUAACAUGGGCUUACGACCUACGCACACUACAGUGGGUAUUUUAGGCAGGUAACCGUGCCAAAAUUAACACAGCAUGUAUUAAUUAACGUAGCGAGAUAAAAUAUUGGAGUUAUUAAGCAACAUUUGAUUCCGAAGUCGGAGUGUAUUUUCUCUCGCUUUCAGAUCAAAUAAUGGCCGCUGUUGACGUCAAGAAAACGUGCGUAAUAUUUACGUGGUUACGUCAUAUUUCGUUGCGUACUUUUCCGUUGAAGCGUCGACGCAUCAAAACGCAGGUGAAAGCGGAAGUUUGCAUACACUUAGGUUGGAGUCAUUAAAACUCAUUUGUCUUGUUAAUAACAAACUAUCGUUUUUGGCAAGUCGGUUAGGACAUCUACUUCGUGGAUGACACAAGUAAUUUUUCC
rnacentral:lncRNA from 1 species